rfam:Streptomyces sp. CB02488 scaffold14, whole genome shotgun sequence.
CUUGAUCGAGCCGAGCCACAGCGGCUGCUGGUCCUCGGGCCGGUCCUGGCCGUACGUGGCGAGCAGGGCCUGCGCCUC